UGGCUCAGGCAGCUGAUUUAUGCUAAUGAGGUAGUUGGAGUUCUUUAGGCGCACGGGCGCCGCCCUUCAUUCAGCACGCGGUGUCGGAGAGACGCAGCGUUUUGUUGCUACUCGCGCCGCCCGCGUUCUCUCACGCGUGCUCACACACUGUGUCUCGUGCGCUCUCUUUUCUCCGGCUGCAUCGUGUCGCCUUUAUGUUAUUUAUCCUCGGAUCGGCGCUCGCGGAUGGUUUCUGUUGCGUGACUGCAGCACGUCGUGGAGCGACGUCUCGUCUGUGAUGCCGUUUUCAGGGCUGAGUGUCUCUGUAGAGUCAAAGUGCUUACAGUGCAGGUAGUUCAGUACGACAUCUACUGCAGUGGAGGCACUUCCAGCUCUACACACUCUAAAUGCUCCUCAGGUUUAUCCGUGAUCUUCCCCCAUGGUGCCAGAGUUGUUAACGGGCGGUGGUGCAUCUAGUGCAGAUAGUGGAUUAGAUCGGCACCUACUGCCCUAAGUGCUCCUUCUGGCAUGAGCGAGCCGGAAUGUUCGUCCAUCUCCGUGCUCGAGUUCCCGGUUCGUCCUGACGCGUGCUCAUCUUCAUCUGCGGCUCUCUGUCAGUUUUGCAUUGUUGCACCACAAGAAAAAGAGUUGUGCAAAUCUAUGCAAAACUGAUGGCGGACAAGCUUGUCGACUGACCUCACUUCCUGUCUGCAUCCUGUGUCCGCGGCAGUAUUAAAGUGCUUAUAGUGCAGGUAGUUUGGUCUGUAGCACUUCUACUGCAGUGUGAGCACUUGAAGUACUUCUAGGUGGAAAGUCACCGUAACACCAAGGAUCCGGUCGUGCGGUACGGCUCUGGUUAGUUUUGCUGGUUUGCAUUCAGCGUUCAGUCAGAAUUUGGCUGUGCAAAUCCAUGCAAAACUGAUCAUAGCUGUGAAUAAAAGCCAGCAGAUUUCAGCAUUUUUCUAAGUGUCAUUUCAUUUAUUUCCUAAAUUUUUAUUUGGUUUUUUCUGGAGUUUCUUUGAGUUUUUUUUUUUUUUAGCAGUUUUAUCUGUGGACCCCCCACCCCUGCCAGGCCCCCCUUCAGUUUCCUUCCUGUUUCUCGGCAGGUCGGGAUCGGCCGCAAUGUUGCUUUUAUCUGAAUGAAAUAUUGCACUUGUCCCGGCCUGUUGAGGGCACUGGGUUAGUCGCAGUGUGUUGGUUUUGUGUGCGUUUCCUGAUGCAGACUUUAUUCACACAGAAGGAGAGGAAACUGUAAAUAUUGUUUGUAUGAUUUGUGUUGCAGUUUGUGAUCAUAAUAAACUCUGAGCUGAAUUCUG